AGCGGGAGGAAGGCGGGGAUGACGUCAAGUCCUCAUGGCCHUUAUGCCHWGGGCUGCACACGUGCUACAAUGGCGGGGACAAAGCGUCGCCACGCCGUAAGGCCGAGCHAACCGCGUAAACCCCGCCCCAGUUCGGAUCGAGGGCUGCAACCCGCCCUCGUGAAGCCGGAAUCGCUAGUAAUCGCGGAUCAGCNUUGCCGCGGUGAAUGUGUUCCUG
rnacentral:rRNA from 1 species